AAGUAUGAAACAUCGACUAAAAUCUUCCACAUCGUGUGGCAAACGUCGAUGUCAGCCCAUCCUGGGCA
rnacentral:sRNA from 1 species